AACAAUCAGUGAAUCUUGUUUUCAACUAUUAAAAUGAUACAAAAAGAGCAACUUCAACUAAUAAUGAUCAUCAGCCAUUAAACCAACCCUACAAACGCUGAGCACAACAAUCAGUGAACACACAAAACAACACAAAAUGAACCUCUUUGGACCAUCAAUGGAGGCGUUUUCCUUGCCCAGUAUUAAUAACUUAUAUCAUGAUUACAAUUAAGGACUAUCAAUUAGCCUCAAGGGUUAACUUUUCCUGAUUCAUAUUAAAUAUUAAAUUGUGAUUGAAAGAAGCAAACCAAACCUAAAUGUCAAGUUAUAAUAGCUUCAAUUUUUGUUACAUAAAGUAAAUGUAUUCAACUCAAUGAUUAUCAAACAUGAUUGGUUCGCAUUUUCAUUUGUAUUAUAAUUUUUGUACUUUGAUUUUAAGGCCUCCAAAUCAAAAUAAUUGUAAGGUUUAUCAAAAACUGUACAACCACAAAUGAUGAUAAGUUUCAAUUUCAGGCUUGGUUUUUGUUUUUCCUUUCAAUUUUGCUUCUUAAUUUAUAUUUUAGUCUAAUGUUAUGAACCUUUAUUACAAUAUAGUUGAUUAGUUAAAUUCAUUAAUACAUUAAUCUUGGAUCAUUUAUUUUCCAAUAAUCAUCGCCUUAUUGGUAAUGAUGAUCAUAAUAAAUAUGGGAAUAAAAUUUUGACUGGUUUGCCAGUAAACAAUCAUCUUAACCAUCAUUAGUUUAAUUGAUGUUCAAUGUUAAAUUAUUAAUAUCAUCAUCUUGUUUGUUUCUAAUGAAAUCCAAUGUAUCCAGUUAAUAUGAUACAAUUUUAUAAUCGGUGAUAACCUCACCUUAAUAUUGAGAUUACAUUUAAUUGUAACAAUUAUUAACAUCACUAAUUGUACUUGAAAUAGAUGUGAUUUUAUUGAAGUUGCAGCCUGGUAAAGUUGUAAUAAUGGUUAAAUGUAUGGUUAAAUAAAAAUGAAAUCAAGUAAAUCAAGUUGCGUGAGAGUGAAUAGUUACAAUAACAGUGAGAGGUAAAUAAUAAUGACAAAUAAAUAACAACAAAGGA